rnacentral:rRNA from 1 species
GACAGAGGGUGCAAACGUUGUUCGGAAUUACUGGGCGUAAAGCGCGUGUAGGCGGCCCUGCAAGUCGGAUGUGAAAUCCCACGGCUCAACCGUGGGAGUGCAUUCGAAACUGCAGGGCUAGAGUCCUGGAGAGGAAGGUGGAAUGCUUGGUGUAGAGGUGAAAUUCGUAGAUAUCAAGCGGAACACCGGUGGCGAAGGCGGCCUUCUGGACAGUGACUGACGCUGAGACGCGAAAGCGUGGGGAGCAAACAGG